UAGUAUAAGUAAGAAUUGUUUUUUCCAGGAAUAAAUAGAAGUUGAGAUAUAAGAAGGAAUUAGACCAAUUUUAUAUUUAGAUAAAAAUUGGGUUGUUUCUGGGAAUAAGAUAAUUAGUAUUUGGAUGGGUAGAUUGGAAUAGAGAGAAUAAGAGUUAUAAUUAUAAAUUAAAAAUAUUUUAUCUAAUUAAUUAACGGCAAUUAGAAAUAAUUCAAUAAAUUAAUAAAUUUAUUAGCAAUGAAUAUAAUAAUAAAUUAAGAAAUUAAUAAAUAUAAAUAUUAGCUAAUUAAUUAGUUAAUUAAUACAUUAAUUAAUCAAUUAAUUAAUUAUACAAAUAACUUAACUUUUUAAUUAGUUAGCAAAUUAUUUCAGUUAGAUAAUUAGUUCAAAAUUAAAUAGAUUAGUUAAAAUAUUAAUGGUUGAUCAAUAUAAAUAUUAGUUAUCGAAUAAAUUGAUUAAAAUAUUAAUUUUUAAUCAGUUAAUUAAUUAUAAAUAAUAAAUUAAUUAAUUGUUUUAUUAUUUAAGUAAUAGGUAAUGACUUAAAUACAUUAAUUAGAUUAAAUUAAUAAUUCAAUACCAUAAUUAAAAUUAAAUUAGACUUUAAUUAACA
rnacentral:lncRNA from 1 species